UUCCACCGGAGCUUGCUCCACCGGAAAAAGAGGAGUGGCGAACGGGUGAGUAACACGUGGGUAACCUGCCCAUCAGAAGGGGAUAACACUUGGAAACAGGUGCUAAUACCGUAUAACAAUCAAAACCGCAUGGUUUUGAUUUGAAAGGCGCUUUCGGGUGUCGCUGAUGGAUGGACCCGCGGUGCAUUAGCUAGUUGGUGAGGUAACGGCUCACCAAGGCCACGAUGCAUAGCCGACCUGAGAGGGUGAUCGGCCACAUUGGGACUGAGACACGGCCCAAACUCCUACGGGAGGCAGCAGUAGGGAAUCUUCGGCAAUGGACGAAAGUCUGACCGAGCAACGCCGCGUGAGUGAAGAAAGUUUUCGGAUCGUAAAACUCUGUUGUUAGAGAAGAACAAGGAUGAGAGUAACUGUUCAUCCCUUGACGGUAUCUAACCAGAAAGCCACGGCUAACUACGUGCCAGCAGCCGCGGUAAUACGUAGGUGGCAAGCGUUGUCCGGAUUUAUUGGGCGUAAAGCGAGCGCAGGCGGUUUCUUAAGUCUGAUGUGAAAGCCCCCGGCUCAACCGGGGAGGGUCAUUGGAAACUGGGAGACUUGAGUGCAGAAGAGGAGAGUGGAAUUCCAUGUGUAGCGGUGAAAUGCGUAGAUAUAUGGAGGAAC
rnacentral:rRNA from 1 species